AUAACAGAUGCUCCAAAGGAAGAAAGGUAGAGAAGCCUGAGCUGGAGGAAAACACAGUCGUGCAAUGUUUUAGGACCCCAGACCUGCAAGGGAGAAGCUGAAGACGAAGUUUCACUCUGUCGGCCAGGCUGGAGUGCAAUGGUGCGAUCUUGGCUUGCUGCAACCUCCACCUCCCAGGUUCAAGCAAUUUUUUCUGCCUCAGCCUCCUGAGUAGCUGGGAUUACAGGUCCUUCUGGAGGUUUCCUCAUGGAAAGAUGGAUGAAAACAGAAUGUGGCCUCCAUCAAUAUAGUGCAAUGUUAGGUAACAGAAUCAACGCUACUUGAUAGGGGUUGAGUUAUGCUUAAGCAGGAAAGCACAUGAAUCCUUCCUAAUCAUCUACUGGUGAUAUCCAAUAUGGCGGCCACUAGCAGCAUAUGGCUACUUGUAUUCAAAGUAAUUAAAAUGAAAAUAAGUUAAAAAUUCAGUGUUUCAGUUGCAUUAGCUAAAUUUCAAGUGCUCAAUAGCCAUAUAUGGCCAAUGGCUACCAUAUUGGACAGAGCAGGUAUAGAACAUUUAUUUCAUUGCAGAAAGUUCUACAGGCCAGCACCAAAGGAAUUAAUAUCAAAAUUAAGAAGACUGUACUUUGCCACUGUGAUUUCCAGGUCCUUCCACAUGAGUAAUUGUGAACUGUCAUAAAUUAUAUUGAAAUUAGAUAUAAAUGCCACUGAGAAGAUGACAGAGGACUAGAAAAAUCUAUAAUGUGAUGCUGAUCACAUUAUAGAUACAAUUUUAAAUGGUUAAAAAUGAAAUUAUUUGAAUUUAAAAAUGCCUUAGGGUAUUUACCUUUGAAAACAUUUGGAGAGAGGAAAAUCAAUUAAACACAGCAUUAGUCAAGAAGGAGGAGACACGAGAAGAGAUCAGAAAUGCUGGAGGCCAGGCACAGUGACUCACGCCUGUAAUCCCAGCACUUUGGGAGGCUGAGGCAGGCAGAUCUCCUGAGGUCAGGAGUUCCCCGGAGGUCAGGAGUUCCAGACCAGCUUGGCCAACAUGGUGAAACUUCGUCUCUACUAAAAAUACAAAAAAAUUAACCGGGUGAGGUGGCUGGCACCUGUAAUCCCAGCUACUCGAGAGGCUGAGGCAGGAGAAUCGCUUGAACCUGGGGGUCGGAGAUUGCAGUGAGCAAUCAAAAUUUCACUCAAAGAAAUUUUGCUCCACUGCACUCCAGCCUGGGUGACAAAGCAAGAUUUCAUAGAUUUCAUUUCAAAAAAAAAAAAAAAGAAUGGAAAAAACAAAAUGGUUAAGAUGUGUAAUCUGAUUUAGAAAUUAGAAGAAAAGAGGCGAUGAAAAAAUACACUUUAGUCAAGCAUCAGGAGUGAAUUUUUUUUAAAGUGAAAAUGAUAGAAAAGGAGAAAUACUCUGGGGAUAUAGAAGACAUCUUUUCUGAAGCCAUUAUCCACAUAAUCUAAUUCUCUGGAUUUAUCUAAAUCAUCUACAAGAAGCCCACUUCCCUUACCUAAUUUCUUGUAUGACAAAGUGCAUGUUAUAAAGUUGUCUACUUUUUUUAAUUAAAAGAACAUUUAUGUGUAAUUUUAAUGCCUUAUUUGAAAUUAGUCUUUCAACCUCAACAUUAUAAAUCAAGUUAUAAAGCCCCAGGAGAUUAAAAUAUUAUGUCACAGAUCAGUGGAAAUUUUCUUAAUGAUUCACAGUGAAAUACAACUGCCUGAAACUGAGCAAAAGUUUCCUACUGAGAAUUCAAAGAAGACAUAAUAGUUUGCCUCAUUUAUAUCUCUAUCAUAAUUAAAAUAAACUUUGAAGGAACAAUCUAAGAUUUAUAUAUAUGUUAGGUAAACAAUACUUACAUUUUGCAUUUUGACAUUUGUGGCACUGAGGAAUGUAUACUUAAGUAUCUUAAGGAAACCAGCAAAAUAUCUUUCUAAAAAAAUGAACUAACUUUCUUCUUAUUGUGAAAUUGGGAUUAAAGAAGAAAUGUGUGCAUUUAGAAAAGGUAAACCAGCACACAAAAACUCUAAUGAUGUAGUUAAUGUUUUUUAAUUAAUGGAAGUGAGCCUCUUUAAUAACCCAAGUUUAUGAAGAAGGUCACAAUUUCUAAGCUGCUUGAGUGGAAAGCAAAAACAUAUUUGAUGUAAGCCAUCAUAAGUAAUGAAGAAAUUUUAUGGCUUUAAAUAUUAUUCAAGGUCAUUUGUUACUUAAUGUAUCUUCUUAUUAACAGGAUGUUUUUACAUGUUAAAGUAGCACCAUAUGAAUAAUCAAUCAAAAAAUAGUGUUUCAUGAGAAAUUGGAGGUUGGGGAAUGCAAAAACCCAACUAUUAACACUAUUACCUGUUUUAUAUUUGAACAGUGUUUUCAAGUUGCUUUUAAUCCUUACAACAGUAAUAUCUGAGAAGCAUGAUUAACUUCUUCCUACAGGUGGAGGAACAGGGCUUAGAGAAUCCACAUAGACUAGAGGUGUUAAGCCACUUUCAAAUCAAAGCAAAACUUUCCCAGUGGGGAGCCAAGUGGAUUGAGAGCUAAGAAGUGGAAAAUUUGGUAUUAUGACCUAGUGUUCCAGGUUUUCUGUUCAUAAUUCAAUUGUGGCAGACAUUCGUGCCACUAAUGGCUAUCUCCUUCAGGGACAUGGAAAGUUUAUACUUCCCAUCGCUUUCAAAGCUUGGCAUGGCCACGUAACUUGUUUCAGCAACUAUAUGUCCAUGGAAAUGAUGUCACAUCUUAGCAAAAGCGUUUAAUUAAUGGCGCAAGACUCUCUAGCCUUCCCUUCUCCAGCAUAUGUUGAUAUGCAUCUGUCCUGGACCCACAGAAAGAACUAAAUGUUUGUUUUCUUGAGUCUCUGAGACAUUGUAAUUGCAUAUUACGAAGCCAGAUCUAACCUAUCGUGGCUAAAACAUUUUGCACAGUCAUGCUGCAUAAAGACUUUUCAGUCAAUGACAGACCACAUAUAUGACAGUGGUCCCAAAAGCUUAUAAUACUGUAUUUUUACUGUACCUUUUCUGUUUGUAGAUAUGUUUAGAUACACAGCUUCUUAUUAUUGUGUUACAAUUGCCUACAGUAUUCAGUAUAGUAACAUGCUGAACAGGUUUGCAGCUUAGGAGCACUAGGCUAUACCAAUUAGCGCAGGUGUGUAUUACUUACGCAAACCCAUCUAGGUUUGUGUAAGUACGCUCUAUGAUGUUUGCAUGAUGAAACUGUCUAAUGCAACGCAGUUCUCAGAAAGUAUCCCCAUCGUUAAGGGAUGCAUGACUGUAUUUUAAACCUAACUGGGCCCCAAUUCUAUCACACACUUAAAAUGCAGCCUUUUCUUUUAAUUACUAUAAUAUCAAAAAUGUUUGAUGGGUGCUUUGGUGCACUCAAAACAAAUUCCCUGAAUCCUUCUCUAAUUACAUUCCCUGCUACUUUUUAUAACAAAUCCAUUUACCUCCAUUUAUUUUUAAGAGCCUUCCUCUUAGCACCAAAUCUCAAAAUAGCAAUCUUUUGUCUUUGUGCUGGCAGUCAAUGACUGUUCCUGAAUUUUCAUUCUUUCUCUCUUGCUAUAAUCUUUCUUCUCUUCUCCAGAACUUACACUUGGCUGUUCUGUAGCUACCAGAUACUAACAUUAAAAAGUUGCCGCUGCCACUAUUCUGUCUAAUAGUAGGUAUUUUUUAAAGAGAGUACAACUGUAGCUGAGAUCAUACUGGUCCUUUAUGCAUCAGGAUUCAAACUCAAACUCAAACUCAUUUAGACCAAGGGAGGGACUUUACUGGAUCACUGAGUUCAAGAAAGAGCUAAAGAAUGAGAAGGUGUUUCACCGUGUUGGCCAGGCUGGUCUCAAAUUCCUGACCUCAAGUGAUCUGCCCACCUCAACCUUCCAAAGUGCUGGGAUUACAGGCAUGAGCCACCGCACCCCAGAGGCGGAGGUUGCAGUGAGCCAAGAUUGUGCCACUGCACUCCAGCCUGGAUGACAGAGUGAAACUCCGUCUCAAAAAAGAAAAAAAAUGAAUAAGAAAGUGGCAUGGACAGAGGGAAAACUGUUCAUCAGAAAACCUGGAACCAGUGAGAAAAUCCUGUUUUAUCCUCCUUCCAGUUUGAUUCUAUUUCUUUCUCUGUUCUAGCUUCAUUCUUGAGACCUAUAGACAAUUGCUGUCACAUGACAGUGGCAGCUCACACAUUUCAUAUCUCAUAGUCUCUCCACAUGAUAGAUACUAAUUCUUUUUCAAUUACAGUAUGAAGAAUCCCAAAGGAGGUCUCAGGUUGGCUCAGUUUGGGUCAGAUGUCUGUACUUCAACCAACCAAUUAGGACAGAAAGGAGGAUAUCUUGCUGGCACUUGGGGCAGGUCUUCCUCUAGCCUCCAGGUGGCAGGGCUGGUCCCACAGAUGGAAGGACAGAAAGGUGAACAGACAAAACUAUAGAUGCCCACUAUAGACCUACCCCAAAAUACUGAUGUAGUUUAAUCUGGUUUUAGUUCUUAUAAUUAAGAUGUUGAGUAUAGUAACUGUAGUAUAAUUUAAUCAAGUAAGUUAGAUUACAGUGGGUUUUAUACAGCUAUACUUCUGCUGUAACUGAAAAUCUACUUUUUAAAAUUAUUAUUAUUUUUAGAAAUAGGGUCUCUUUCUCUGUUGCCCAGGAUGGAGUGCAGUGGCAUGAUUAUAGUUCACUGUAACGUCAAACUACUGCUCAAGCGAUUCUCUCACCUCAGCCUCCCAAGUAGCUAGGACUGCAGGAUCAUGCCACAACACCCAAGUGUGUUUUGUGUUUUUUUGUUUGUUUUGUUUUGUUUUUAGUUUUUAGUUUUGAAGAGACAGGGCUUCACUAUGGUGCCCAGGUUGGUCUUGAUCUCCUGGCCUAAAGCAAUCCUUAUGCCUUGGCCUCCCAAAGCACUGGGAUUACAGGCAUGAACCAUGCUCAACCUUCUACUUUUAUUUGAAGGUAAAACUGGCUUACAAUUGCUUUUAAACUAAAAACUAACAGUGAAAUCUGGAAACCAUGAUCCCAACUUUGCACGAAGAGUAAAUGAAAAAAGCAUAGAUCUGAGACAAAAAUGCUACUGAUCCCACCUGCAGGUCAGCUCUAUAGUCAGAGUGUUCUUAAUCUCACCUCUUCUUCUGAUCAUCCUUCCUCUUCUACUUUAAUCACUUCUGUAUUUCAGUAGGUUGAAAUGACCUCUUAUUGCACAUUGAAAAUCACAUUUUCAAGAUGCUCCUCAAUUCAUAUAUGGAUAAAAAAGGUAUAGAAAAGGGAAAUUCACUUGUCCUGCUCUUGUAGAAAAAAAAAUAAGCAUUCUCAUUGAAAUAAUUUAAGAAUAAAAUAUGAGAACACAAGAA
rnacentral:lncRNA from 1 species